GACGAACGCUGGCGGCGUGCUUAACACAUGCAAGUCGAACGGAAAGGCCCUGCUUUUGUGGGGUGCUCGAGUGGCGAACGGGUGAGUAACAUGUGAGUAACCUGCCCUUGACUUUGGGAUAACUUCAGGAAACUGGGGCUAAUACCGGAUAGGAGCUCCUGCUGCAUGGUGGGGGUUGGAAAGUUUCGGCGGUUGGGGAUGGACUCGCGGCUUAUCAGCUUGUUGGUGGGGUAGUGGCUUACCAAGGCUUUGACGGGUAGCCGGCCUGAGAGGGUGACCGGCCACAAGGGGACUGAGAGACGGCCCAGAAUCCUACGGGAGGCAACAGGGGGGAAUAUUGCACAAUGGGCCGAAGCCUGAUGCAGCAACGCCGCGUGCGGGAAGACGGGCUUCGGGUGGUAAACAGCUUUCGCCGGUGACGAAGCGUGAGUGACGGUAAUGGAUAAAGAAGCACCGGCUAACUACGUG
rnacentral:rRNA from 1 species